rnacentral:rRNA from 1 species
UCAUGCUUUUAAAGAUGAAUG